rnacentral:rRNA from 1 species
UACAGAGGGUGCAAGCGUUGUUCGGAAUUAUUGGGCGUAAAGCGCAUGUAGGCGGUGACGUAUGUCGGGUGUGAAAGCCCUCGGCUCAACCGAGGAAGUGCGCUCGAAACUGCGUCGCUAGAGUGUCGGAGAGGGUGGCGGAAUUCCCGGUGUAGAGGUGAAAUUCGUAGAUAUCGGGAGGAACACCAGUGGCGAAGGCGGCCACCUGGACGAACACUGACGCUGAGAUGCGAAAGCGUGGGUAGCAAACAGG